rnacentral:rRNA from 1 species
AUGUUGAACUUGUACUGCGAAGGAUCCGGUCAAGCUAUCAACAAGGAGAAAUCCUCUAUCUUCUAUGGAUGGAACUGUAUGGAUAGCAUCGGGAACAGAGUUAAGAACCGGUUGGGAAUUCACAAUGAGACCUUUCAUGACUCAUAUCUUGCGAUGCCUACGGAGGUGGGCACUUCCCCUACAAGCACUUUCAAGUUCUGAACUGACAUAGCAUGGCAAAAUAUCCAUGGCUGGUCUGAUCAGCCUCUUUCUAGGGUUGGAAAUGAAACCUUGCCGAAAUCCAUCACUCAAGCCAUUCCAACCUUUGUUCGAGAUGCUUUUGUCUUCCUGUUGCUACUUGUGAAAAGUUUAGACAGAUUGUGGCUAAUAGGUAGUGGGGUAGGGAGGAUGGAAGAAUGA